AAAUUGAAGAGUUUGAUCAUGGCUCAGAUUGAACGCUGGCGGCAGGCCUAACACAUGCAAGUCGAACGGUAACAGGAAGCAGCUUGCUGCUUUGCUGACGAGUGGCGGACGGGUGAGUAAUGUCUGGGAAACUGCCUGAUGGAGGGGGAUAACUACUGGAAACGGUAGCUAAUACCGCAUAACGUCGCAAGACCAAAGAGGGGGACCUUAGGGCCUCUUGCCAUCGGAUGUGCCCAGAUGGGAUUAGCUAGUAGGUGGGGUAACGGCUCACCUAGGCGACGAUCCCUAGCUGGUCUGAGAGGAUGACCAGCCACACUGGAACUGAGACACGGUCCAG
rnacentral:rRNA from 1 species